CCUACGGGAGGCUGCAGUGAGGAAUAUUGGUCAAUGGGCGGAAGCCUGAACCAGCCAAGUCGCGUGAGGGAAUAAGGCCCUACGGGUCGUAAACCUCUUUUGCCGGGGAGCAAGGGAUGGGACGUGUCCCGGCCCGGAGAGUACCCGGAGAAGAAGCAUCGGCUAACUCCGUGCCAGCACCCUCGGUAAUACGGAGGAUGCGAGCGUUAUCCGGAUUUAGUGGGUUUAAAGGGUGCGUAGGCGGGCUUUUAAGACAGCGGUAAAAAUUCGGGGCUCAACCCCGUCCGGACGUUGAAACUUGGGUCGUUGAGUGGGCGAGACGAAGGCUGAAUGCGUGGUGUAGCGGUGAAAUGCAUAGAUAUCACGCAGAACCCCGAGUGCGAAGGCAGCCUUCCGGCGCCCUACUGACGCUGAGGCACGAAAGUGCGGGGAUCGAACAGGAUUAGAUACCCUGGUCGUC
rnacentral:rRNA from 1 species